rnacentral:rRNA from 1 species
AUUGAACGCUGGCGGCAGGCCUAACACAUGCAAGUCGAGCGGAUGAAGGGAGCUUGCUCCUGGAUUCAGCGGCGGACGGGUGAGUAAUGCCUAGGAAUCUGCCUGGUAGUGGGGGAUAACGUCCGGAAACGGGCGCUAAUACCGCAUACGUCCUGAGGGAGAAAGUGGGGGAUCUUCGGACCUCACGCUAUCAGAUGAGCCUAGGUCGGAUUAGCUAGUUGGUGGGGUAAAGGCCUACCAAGGCGACGAUCCGUAACUGGUCUGAGAGGAUGAUCAGUCACACUGGAACUGAGACACGGUCCAGACUCCUACGGGAGGCAGCAGUGGGGAAUAUUGGACAAUGGGCGAAAGCCUGAUCCAGCCAUGCCGCGUGUGUGAAGAAGGUCUUCGGAUUGUAAAGCAAUUUAAGUUGGGAGGAAGGGCAGUAAGUUAAUACCUUGCUGUUUUGACGUUACCAACAGAAGAAGCACCGGCUAACUUCGU